rnacentral:tRNA from 1 species
GUGCCCGGUUGCCGAGGUAUCGGAACAGCGGCUGAUUUGUCAUCAGCAGAUCGCCAGUUCGAGUCUCUCUGGGGACACCA